rnacentral:tRNA from 2 species
GGAGAGGUGGCAGAGUGGUCGAAUGUACCUGACUCGAAAUCAGGCAUACGGUUUUCCCGUAUCGUGGGUUCGAAUCCCACCCUCUCCG